UACAGAGGUCUCAAGCGUUGUUCGGAUUCAUUGGGCGUAAAGGGUGCGUAGGCGGCGCGGUAAGUCGGGUGUGAAAUCUUGGAGCUUAACUCCGAAACUGCAUUCGAUACUGCCGUGCUUGAGGACUGGAGAGGAGACUGGAAUUUACGGUGUAGCGGUGAAAUGCGUAGAUAUCGUAAGGAAGACCGAGUGGCGAAGGCGGGUCUCUGGACAGUUCCUGACGCUGAGGCACGAAGGCCAGGGGAGCAAACGGG
rnacentral:rRNA from 1 species